rnacentral:rRNA from 1 species
GACGAACGCUGGCGGCGUGCCUAAUACAUGCAAGUAGAACGCUGAAGGAGGAGCUUGCUUCUCCGGAUGAGUUGCGAACGGGUGAGUAACGCGUAGGUAACCUGCCUGGUAGCGGGGGAUAACUAUUGGAAACGAUAGCUAAUACCGCAUAAGAGUAGAUGUUGCAUGACAUUUGCUUAAAAGGUGCAAUUGCAUCACUACCAGAUGGACCUGCGUUGUAUUAGCUAGUUGGUGGGGUAACGGCUUACCAAGGCGACGAUACAUAGCCGACCUGAGAGGGUGAUCGGCCACACUGGGACUGAGACACGGCCCAGACUCCUACGGGAGGCAGCAGUAGGGAAUCUUCGGCAAUGGACGGAAGUCUGACCGAGCAACGCCGCGGGAGUGAAGAAGGGUUUCGGAUCGUAAAGCUCUGUUGUAAGAGAAGAACGAGUGUGAGAGUGGAAAGUUCACACUGUGACGGUAUCUUACCAGAAAGGGACGGCUAACUACGUG